rnacentral:rRNA from 1 species
AAGCCCAGCUUGCUGGGUGGAUCAGUGGCGAACGGGUGAGUAACACGUGAGCAAUCUGCCCCUGACUCUGGGAUAAGCGCUGGAAACGGCGUCUAAUACUGGAUACGAGCUGCGAUCGCAUGGUCAGUAGCUGGAAAGAUUUUUUGGUCAGGGAUGAGCUCGCGGCCUAUCAGCUUGUUGGUGAGGUAAUGGCUCACCAAGGCGUCGACGGGUAGCCGGCCUGAGAGGGUGACCGGCCACACUGGGACUGAGACACGGCCCAGACUCCUACGGGAGGCAGCAGUGGGGAAUAUUGCACAAUGGGCGCAAGCCUGAUGCAGCAACGCCGCGUGAGGGAUGACGGCCUUCGGGUUGUAAACCUCUUUUAGCAGGGAAGAAGCGAAAGUGACGGUACCUGCAGAAAAAGCGCCGGCUAACUACGUGCCAGCAGCCGCGGUAAUACGUAGGGCGCAAGCGUUAUCCGGAAUUAUUGGGCGUAAAGAGCUCGUAGGCGGUUUGUCGCGUCUGCUGUGAAAUCCCGAGGCUCAACCUCGGGUCUGCAGUGGGUACGGGCAGACUAGAGUGCGGUAGGGGAGAUUGGAAUUCCUGGUGUAGCGGUGGAAUGCGCAGAUAUCAGGAGGAACACCGAUGGCGAAGGCAGAUCUCUGGGCCGUAACUGACGCUGAGGAGCGAAAGGGUGGGGAGCAAACAGGCUUAGAUACCCUGGUAGUCCACCCCGUAAACGUUGGGAACUAGUUGUGGGGUCCAUUCCACGGAUUCCGUGACGCAGCU